rnacentral:lncRNA from 1 species
UUGAAUGUAUUGCUAACGAUAGCUUGUUGAGUUGUUUAAAGCUUGAAGCAUUUCAGCAGGAAANAACAAUUGGUGAGGUUUUUGAAGAGAAACAAGGAGAACAUUAGAAUCAGAGUCGAAUGAAGAAAAGGCCUAAAGGAUAACCAACAUGCGCGCUUAUCUGUGGUGCACUUUUUUUAUUGUCCUUUUGAUCAUACAAUUAAUACAUGCAGGAGAUAGUGAAGAGGAAGAAUCAACUGCCAGAUCCGCCAUACCUAAAAGGAAAAGAGGUGGGCGUCACCGUCGACACCAUCAACUAAACUCACACGACCGCCGGGCAUUACGUCAUAGAUACAACUCCGUCCUUGCCAUUGGUGUUGGUCUAGGGGUCGCGGGGGGCUGGAUCUGCAUAGCAACCCUUGUUUACGUCGUUCGAUAUUUCAGAGUAAAAAAAAUCGAAGACAAAAGAAAGAAACCACAGGGCGAAGAUUUAUUGUAAAUUGCCGAAUAAUGAUGAACUGGAAUUGUCUUAAAAUAGAAACUGCAAAACGUANACAUCUUGCCGAACACAGAGCACCGUACGUAAAGAUCACCGUUGGAUAUCUNNGGAAACGUCAAACAUUUUACGGAAGCUGCCUUGCGUUGCGGCAAACAAGGAAAGAAGCCAGGAUAUCGANAAAGUCACUUAGAAUGAAAAACUAGAGGUUUCAAAACAAGUUAUAGUCGUUUUUAUACCACAUAAUUUUGUUUGUCAUAACUAGGUCUUUGUGUACCCACAAAAACUAUUCUAUUCGUUAAUAAGUUCUUUUUUGCAAUAUGUAGGUUUAUUUUUUGCCUUAUUGCAAGAAGCUUUUGAUUUCUAAUGAAUGACAUGUUCUACGCAAGGCCGCAGAACGAAACUGCGGACAAAUAGCGCGCCAUUAGAUCAUAAAAAACUUAGUUUUUCAAAAAUAACUUAUUGAGGAAAAACACAUAUUUUGUAUAAUAUAGAUAAUUAGAAUAACAACGACGUUAGAAUNAUUUCUAAUGAGAUAAAUGACGUCUGCUGACAAGUAGACUAUCGACUGGCAUAUUUACCUCAUUCUUGCUAUGGUCUUCCUGUGGUACUCUNGGCCACAGGUAACCCAAUGAAGAUUUUAAAAUGAAGAAAUGAGGUCUAUGUUAGUUGAUGAANCAAAAAGCCAAAAUUAUAUGUAUUACCAUUGUAUUGGCUAAUAUUCUCUAUUUUAUANAGUGAUUUACGUAUCAUAAAAUACUUUAUAAAAAAUUCAUAUUAUCAUUUGAUUAAAUAUAAAGAAACAUGUCAUUGAUAAUUUACCUAAUUGAGAAAACGCAUCGGGUCCAAAAAGGAUACAUUAUCAAAGCUACUAAUGAAAGGGAACAUGAGAAGAAAAUCUUUUAAAAAUAUAUAUCACUGUUUUCAGUUCCAAAAGAUUGCCUAAACUGAAUAUAAUGACAUUCUCCAAUAAUAUAAAUUUUGUAUAAACUCAGCGAAUGGUUUAGGAGACGUCAGGUAGAGCUGUUGGCAUGCACGUAGUUUAUUUGGAGAGAAUAACUAUGACGUCACUUAUUAGAUUAUAUUCAAUCUAUGACAGAUGGUACUGCAACGUCAAAUAAAAAUUUCCAGUAAAAA